rnacentral:lncRNA from 1 species
UUACAGCACCAAGCUUCCCGAGUUCAUUUAUCCAGUGUGAUCGCGUGUGUUUGCGUGUGUUCGUGAGUGUUCACCAAACGAUCGUCUUCCUCGUCUCCGGCGACUGGCGAAGGAUCCCGGCGAGUGGAGACUACAGACACGUCCACUUCCUUCGCCAUUUGCUCUGCCCUUGACGAGCUGUGUCGCUGGAAGCUAGUUUUGCAACAGCUGCUUGAGAAGUUGCUAGUCCUUGCUGUGUUGUGGUUUUGGUGCUGGCAUGAGUACUUUGCUGGAUACAUCAAGCUAUCCGGUUCAACCGCGCAAUCAAAACGUAUGGUUGGAAUCGUUUCAAAUUACCUCCCAUCGCCUCUGCUAUUUUUUUUCUUUAUUUAAUUCGUGGAAAGAUAAUAACGUUAUUGUAUAAGGUUUUUUUAAACCCUAACCCCUAUCAUCAGCGGCGACAGCUCCCUGUAACACGCUGGUGGGUUGAACCCUAAAAAGAUUUAAUAAAACUUAAGAAGAAAAUUUUUAUCUAACUAACUAUAGUACUUGAAUCAUACAACCUUACUAUGCUACUCAAAAUAUUAUUUUUACAAUUAUAAAUUUACCGUUUUACUCUUCAUUAAAAAAAAUACGAAAAAAAGAAUUACCACUUCUUUAUUUAGGGUCCUAAUCCCCAUAAUUUCGGAGGCGAUGGGAGGCGAUGUGACGUCUAUGGCCCACCGACCAUAGACACACCUAUUGCCUCCCAUCGCCUUGCUCUCAUCGCCUCUUAUCGUUUAUUAUGUCUUGGGUCCGCUGACCAUAGACACACCAAUCGUUUCUCAUCGUCUCUCCAACCAUUGUAAAAAUAUUCUUACUCUGAAUCCCUAUAAUUCUGCUUUUGGAAUUUCAAACUUUUUUAGAAUGCAUAUUGGUAUUGCACUGUUUUCCCCUCUCCUUGUGUUUUGAAAAAAAAAAUGUGAGGAGCACUUCCUUCCAUUAAGCCGGAGAGAGUACACAAAAAUCAAAGGCCAACCCACUCUUAAUGAAAUAUAUGUGCUUAUUAGACAGCUUCGAGAGAAAAUGCAAAGACUAAUGCAGUUUAAAUCGUUUUCACUAAUUCAAGUAUUCAACACAUACGUUACACAUGAUUUUGUGAAAGAGUUUUAAAACAAAGCUAGAUUCUAAUUAUAUAUAUCAUGAAUCAUGUCGAGUACAACAUCCAGUUACCCAGUGCUAAAUAGGAGCAUUCCAUGGUCGAAUAUGUUGAAUACAACCCUUAUGUAUUUCAGUUUGCGAAAAGGUAUGUAACCUACUGGCUGCAAGAGACUUGAUAGCACCCCAGAUCAAGAGUUCGACUUCUCGUGGAAAGAGUAUUCAGAGAUUUAGUGGCUUUUAUGCUUCAAUGUUAAACGAUGUUCUCAUCGACAAUGAGACAUAGGGAUAGGGUUUACAUGCGUGUAUUUUCUUUAGCUAUUUAAGUAUUGUUUUCUUUUUUAUUUUGGUAAUGCUAGAUAAGGUUAGAGUACCCUGAACUAAGAGAAGAAAGGAAAUUGCUAGUUCUUUGUAAACAAAGCCUCAUGAUCGAUGAUUGCUG